rnacentral:rRNA from 1 species
GAUGAACGCUGGCGGCGUGCCUAAUACAUGCAAGUCGAGCGAACAGACGAGGAGCUUGCUCCUCUGACGUUAGCGGCGGACGGGUGAGUAACACGUGGAUAACCUCCCUAUAAGACUGGGAUAACUUCGGGAAACCGGAGCUAAUACCGGAUAAUAUAUUGAACCGCAUGGUUCAUUAGUGAAAGACGGUUUUGCUGUCACUUAUAGAUGGAUCCGCGCCGCAUUAGCUAGUUGGUAAGGUAACGGCUUACCAAGGCAACGAUGCGUAGCCGACCUGAGAGGGUGAUCGGCCACACUGGAACUGAGCCACGGUCCAGACUCCUACGGGAGGCAGCAGUAGGGAAUCUUCCGCAAAGGGCGAAAGCCUGACGGAGCAACGCCGCGUGAGUGAUGAAGGUCUCCGGAUCGUAAAACUCUGUUAUUAGGGAAGAACAAAUGUGGAAGUAACUAUGCACGUCUUGACGGUACCUAAUCAGAAAGCCACGGCUAACUACGUG